rnacentral:lncRNA from 1 species
CUCUCUGACUCUGCCCGGCCCAAACACGAAGGUCGUAUGCCUGACUGAGAUGUUCACAGCUUCGCCAGCAAGUGCUCCCACGAAACAGAGUCACAGCACUACCCUACGCAGUCAGCCCGAGUCUGUCUCUCCUGGAGGUGAGAUGAGUUGCUGCCCUGUUGGCUGUGUGUGACCGAGGUGAGACACGUCUCCAGCGGCUGCAGCUCUGCUCUGCACAAUGUGGGUUAAACCACGAGCCCAUGCGCUGCACAAAACAAAAGGAAUUGCCAUAGUUGUUGAAUAAUGUACUCAAAUAAUCUGAAAAACCAAGAAACUAUAGCGUAAUAAUACAUAAAAAAUAAAGCAG